UACGUAGGGUGCAAGCGUUGUCCGGAAUUAUUGGGCGUAAAGAGCGUGUAGGCGGCUUGGAAGGUCAGCUGUGAAAACUCGAGGCUCAACCUCGAGACGUCGGUUGAAACCACCUGGCUAGAGUCCGGAAGAGGAGAGUGGAAUUCCCGGUGUAGCGGUGAAAUGCGCAGAUAUCGGGAAGAACACCCGUGGCGAAGGCGGCUCUCUGGGACGGUACUGACGCUGAGACGCGAAAGCGUGGGGAGCGAACAGG
rnacentral:rRNA from 1 species